rnacentral:rRNA from 1 species
ACAANGGAGAUUAGUCUGGAGCCGCGGGCGUGCUGGUCGGAAAACCGGUAGGGCUUCCCCGAACGGGGGCCGUCCGGCCGCACGGAACCCGUGGCACCCGACGCAUUUGUCUCCCGCCCGAAGGACGCCGCAGCCGGUUGGGUAGUGCAAGCGCGACGGCCAGAGAGGCGGACGAUGGCAGGUGGCCGGUGGGGGGUCUCGUACCCUCCGCCGGUUGUUAGCCGGUCCGUCUGUGGCUCGUCACCCGACCGAGGUGUCACUAGGCCCUUCGGGGCCUCUGCGUUUCCUCCUGNAAUU